AUGGCCAUGGAGGCGUUUGCAUUCCCGGACGAUGUCCACCUUACUCCUGAUUUGAGAGAUAGAAAGGUGAUAACUGAAACUGAUGACCAAUUAGUGAAUUCUUGGCAUAAGGCCAUGGACUCAUGGAUCAUUAUAAACACUCAUAGAGCUUCACGUGGAUUCCAUGCUACCGGCGUGAAGAGGAUGUCAGGGCACGGCCAUGAUGAGCCAUACUACCUCCACGCCAAGCACAUGUACAACUUGCACAGGAUGAAGCAUCAGAAGCUGACUGCAUGGACUUCGGUGCUGGGAGCCGCUGUGGAGAAACCCUGCAGUGUGAUCCAAUUGUUGUUUGCGUUCCUCUUGGCACCUGUUGACGCCUCUUUUGCACUUCGCAUCACUUUAUAUGCUGUCAGAUAA
rnacentral:rRNA from 1 species